GACGAACGCUGGCGGCGUGCUUAACACAUGCAAGUCGAACGGAAAGGCCCUGCUUUUGUGGGGUGCUCGAGUGGCGAACGGGUGAGUAACACGUGAGUAACCUGCCCUUGACUUUGGGAUAACUUCAGGAAACUGGGGCUAAUACCGGAUAGGAGCUCCUGCUGCAUGGUGGGGGUUGGAAAGUUUCGGCGGUUGGGGAUGGACUCGCGGCUUAUCAGCUUGUUGGUGGGGUAGUGGCUUACAAAGGCUUUGACGGGUAGCCGGCCUGGGAGGGUGACCGGCCACAUUGGGACUGAGAUACGGCCCAGACUCCUACGGGAGGCAGCAGGGGGGAAUAUUGCACAAUGGGCGGAAGCCUGAUGCAGCAACGCCGCGUGCGGGAUGACGGCCUUCGGGUUGUAAACCGCUUUCGCCUGUGACGAAGCGUGAGUGACGGUAAUGGGUAAGGAAGCACCGGCUAACUACGUG
rnacentral:rRNA from 1 species